rnacentral:rRNA from 1 species
UACGAAGGGGGCUAGCGUUACUCGGAUUGACUGGGCGUAAAGGGCGCGUAGGCGGUUUGUACAGUCAGACGUGAAAUUCCUGGGCUCAACCUGGGGGCUGCGUUUGAUACGUGCAGACUUGAGUUCGGAAGAGGGUCGUGGAAUUCCCAGUGUAGAGGUGAAAUUCGUAGAUAUUCGCAAGAACACCAGUGGCGAAGGCGGCUCACUGGCCCGGUACUGACGCUGAGGUGCGAAAGCGUGGGGAGCAAACAGG